CAGUAGUUGCCUAGCAACUGAUACCUGCUUUUCUUUUACCCCAGGAUAGAUCUCAGUCAAAAAGAUGCAGUUCCUCAUAAAAACCCACCACUAGAGCUAAAGUGACAAGUGUGAACGAGGAUGUAGUCAAUUAUUUUAAUAUCGGUAUCUUUGGAAAACUGGAAAUGUUUUCUGCUCCUUUCCCACAAUACUGGCAGCAGAAAAGCUUGUAAUUAGCAUAUGAUGUACGCUCAUUAUAUACAGCUAGCGUCACCAAGGGUGAAGGCGCACACCGGAUGAAUGUUACAUAAAGCCCCCUAUUUUUAAGAACGAAUCAGCAAUAUGACAAACAGUGGUGUAGUAAGUGGAGGUGGACAACAGAAAUAAAUCCAAGAUACGCUGGGGCUACAAUUUGCAGAAGAUACCGCAUUGGGAAGAAUGUUCCUGAGUUAUUAUAAAGACCCCUACAGUAAACUAUUUCUCUAGUUAUCGUGUUCACUCCAGAAAAAUCAAGCCUGGAAGAAAAUGCCUUUUCAAGAAAAAUGUCUUACCUACUGGAAGUACAAGCUCUGCAAAGAACAGAUACAAGAUAAAGUAACAAAUACAAAUUAAUAUGCUUUCAACUUCUAGAGGAAAUAUUUAAAAGAUUUUUUUUUUAAAUUACCUCAGCUCCUAAACUUAGAGAUAUUAUUUCAUCUUCGAAAGCAGAAUGAGUAUCGAUAUGAGGAGGAAUUCCUAUAAUAUCAAAUAAAAACAUACAAAUAAAGAAUAAGUGAAAUCAA